GCCAUGCUGAAAGCUAGACAUAAAUGUGGAUCGUGUUCUAUGUUGAUAUAAUUUUAAGCAUUUAUCGAUGUUGCCAAAAAUUGUACAGGUGACUUUAGAUCAUUGGAAAGUUGUCAGAAAAUAGCAUGUUUAGUUAUAUUACAAAACAAAUAAAGCCAUGCAGUUGAGACUGAAAGAUUUCAAAACACAAAAUAUUUUAACCUUUAGUUCAAUUCAGAUAUAAACCAC